UAAGCUUCAGGCCUAACACAUGCAAGUCGAGCGCACCUUCGGGUGAGCGGCGGACGGGUGAGUAACGCGUGGGAAUAUGCCCUUCACUACGGAAUAGCCUCGGGAAACUGAGAGUAAUACCGUAUACGCCCUUCGGGGGAAAGAUUUAUCGGUGAAGGAUUAGCCCGCGUUGGAUUAGGUAGUUGGUGAGGUAACGGCUCACCAAGCCGACGAUCCAUAGCUGGUUUGAGAGGAUGAUCAGCCACACUGGGACUGAGACACGGCCCAGACUCCUACGGGAGGCAGCAGUGGGGAAUCUUAGACAAUGGGGGAAACCCUGAUCUAGCCAUGCCGCGUGAGUGACGAAGGCCCUAGGGUCGUAAAGCUCUUUCAGCUGUGAAGAUAAUGACGGUAGCAGCAGAAGAAACCCCGGCUAACUCCGUGCCAGCAGCCGCGGUAAUACGGAGGGGGUUAGCGUUGUUCGGAAUUACUGGGCGUAAAGCGCGCGUAGGCGGAUUAGUAAGUUAGAGGUGAAAUCCCGGGGCUCAACCCCGGAACUGCCUUUAAUACUGCUAGUCUUGAGUUCGAGAGAGGUGAGUGGAAUUCCGAGUGUAGAGGUGA
rnacentral:rRNA from 1 species